UACGUAGGGUGCAAGCGUUGUCCGGAAUUAUUGGGCGUAAAGGGCUCGUAGGCGGUCCAUCGCGUCGGGAGUGAAAAGCUGGGGCUUAACCCCAGUCCUGCUUCCGAUACGGGUGGACUAGAGGUAGGUAGGGGAGAACGGAAUUCCUGGUGUAGCGGUGAAAUGCGCAGAUAUCAGGAGGAACACCUAUUGCGAAGGCAGCUCGCUGGGACGUAACUGACGCUGAGACGCGAAAGCGUGGGGAGCAAACAGG
rnacentral:rRNA from 1 species